GGUGAAAAGCACCCCGGAAGGGGAGUGAAAUAGAACCUGAAACCGUGUGCUUACAAGUAGUCAGAGCCCGUUAAUGGGUGAUGGCGUGCCUUUUGUAGAAUGAACCGGCGAGUUACGAUUUGAUGCAAGGUUAAGCAGUAAAUGUGGAGCCGUAGCGAAAGCGAGUCUGAAUAGGGCGUUUAGUAUUUGGUCGUAGACCCGAAACCAGGUGAUCUACCCUUGGUCAGGUUGAAGUUCAGGUAACACUGAAUGGAGGACCGAACCGACUUACGUUGAAAAGUGAGCGGAUGAACUGAGGGUAGCGGAGAAAUUCCAAUCGAACCUGGAGAUAGCUGGUUCUCUCCGAAAUAGCUUUAGGGCUAGCCUCAAGUGAUGAUUAUUGGAGGUAGAGCACUGUUUGGACGAGGGGCCCCUCUCGGGUUACCGAAUUCAGACAAACUCCGAAUGCCAAUUAAUUUAACUUGGGAGUCAGAACAUGGGUGAUAAGGUCCGUGUUCGAAAGGGAAACAGCCCAGACCACCAGCUAAGGUCCCAAAAUAUAUGUUAAGUGGAAAAGGAUGUGGCGUUGCCCAGACAACUAGGAUGUUGGCUUAGAAGCAGCCAUCAUUUAAAGAGUGCGUAAUAGCUCACUAGUCGAGUGACACUGCGCCGAAAAUGUACCGGGGCUAAACAUAUUACCGAAGCUGUGGAUUGUCCUUUGGACAAUGGUAGGAGAGCGUUCUAAGGGCGUUGAAGCA
rnacentral:rRNA from 1 species